rnacentral:ncRNA from 1 species
UCAGCCCUAGGUCAAGUCAAGGGGCAGGGCGGUCAUCCAGGGUAAGACCUCCCAUAAGGGGGGCGCCGCUCCUGUUCCGCUUCCAAUUGGGCUUGGUCUAGGGUGGAGGA